GAGUUUGAUCAUGGCUCAGAUUGAACGCUGGCGGCAUGCCUUACACAUGCAAGUCGAACGGCAGCACGGGGGCAACCCUGGUGGCGAGUGGCGAACGGGUGAGUAAUACAUCGGAACGUGUCCUGUAGUGGGGGAUAGCCCGGCGAAAGCCGGAUUAAUACCGCAUACGAUCUGCGGAUGAAAGCGGGGGCUCCUUCGGGACCUCGCGCUACAGGGGCGGCCGAUGGCAGAUUAGCUAGUUGGUGGGGUAAAGGCCUACCAAGGCGACGAUCUGUAGCUGGUCUGAGAGGACGACCAGCCACACUGGGACUGAGACACGGCCCAGACUCCUACGGGAGGCAGCAGUGGGGAAUUUUGGACAAUGGGCGAAAGCCUGAUCCAGCAAUGCCGCGUGUGUGAAGAAGGCCUUCGGGUUGUAAAGCACUUUUGUCCGGAAAGAAAACCUCGUGGUUAAUACCCGUGGGGGAUGACGGUACCGGAAGAAUAAGCACCGGCUAACUACGUGCCAGCAGCCGCGGUAAUACGUAGGGUGCAAGCGUUAAUCGGAAUUACUGGGCGUAAAGCGUGCGCAGGCGGUCCGCUAAGACAGAUGUGAAAUCCCCGGGCUUAACCUGGGAACUGCAUUUG
rnacentral:rRNA from 1 species